rnacentral:rRNA from 1 species
AACCCCUACUGCUAGUUGCCAGGCGGGUCAUGGCCGGGGACUCUAGCGGAACUGCCAGCGUAAGCUGCGAGGAAGGGUGGGGAUGACGUACAAAUCAGCACCGGCCCUUACGUCCGAGGGCUACACACGUGUUACAAUGGCCAGUACAGGAGGGCAGCCCACCCCGCGAGGGGGCGCUAAUCCUAAAAGCUGGUCCCAGUUCGGAUCGGAGUCUGCAACCCGACUCCGUGAAGCUGGAUUCGCUAGUAAUCGCGCAUCAGCCACGGCGCGGUGAAUACGUUCCCGGGCCUU